GAUGGAUAAGUUAACAUUUGUUAACUUUGCUGACGUGGCAUCUACGUGGAUUGUCUUGUUAAUGUCACAUCAACAGAUAAUUAAUUUUUUAAAUUUUAAAAAAAUUCAAAAAAUUUAUUAAAAUUAUUUAAAAAUUAAAUAAAAUGUUUUUUAAUAUUUUUAAUUUUUUUAAAAUUAAUUAAUUGCUUACAUGGCAUACAUGUGGACUGCCACAUGAAUGCUACAUCAACAAGGUAACAGAUGUUAAUUUAUCUAUUU
rnacentral:pre_miRNA from 1 species